AGGAACCUGUCCCGUAAUCGAUAGUCCACGUUUUAUCUUGCUUAAUCUUGUUGUUCAGCUUGUAUACCGCCGUCGUCAGAAUGUCCUUUGAGGGUUAAAAUUUUCUCAAUUUUUAAUUGAAAGUGAUGUCAGGUCAAGGUGCAGUUUAUGGUUAAGAGGAGAUGGGUUACAAUAAAAGUAUUUAUAUGGAUAAUGGGUUGUAAUACUUAUUGGAAGGUGGAUUUGAUUGUAAUUAGUGAUAUUAAAUUAAUUUGAUUUUGGCUCUAAAACAUGCACACAUCGCCCGUCGCUCUUA
rnacentral:rRNA from 1 species